rnacentral:rRNA from 1 species
GCUCCAAUAGCGUAUAUUUAAGUUGCUGCAGUUAAAAAGCUCGUAGUUGGAUUCUGCUGAGGACGACCGGUCCGCCUCUGGGUGAGCAUCUGGCUCGGCCUUGGCAUCUUCUUGGAGAACGUAUCUGCACUUCAUUGUGUGGUGCGGUAACCAGGACUUUUACUUUGAGGAAAUAGAGUGUUUCAAGCAGGCGUGCGCCU